GCAAGAUACCUUUCCUUCCUUUGACUGUAAAGGAGGUAGAAGAAACCGUGGCACUCUCCCUAUACCACGUUCCCAAAAAUGUAAACAAACAGGUAAAGAAGCAGCUGUCUGCAGUUGGUAGUUCUCUGAGCUAAAUAUCUCUGCAGCCCUUUCUCCCUUCCCUGAACUGUUUUGUUGUCAUAGUCAGAAAAGCCACAGGCUGAAAUCCAAAAGGGAGAGUAAAUAGGAAGGGCGACCAGGGGGCGCAUGCUGAGACUGGUGGCAUUUGAGUUGAAUGCCCAGCAGAAGCCAAACUGAAUACAGAGUCCCUGCUGGCGGAGCAUGCUUCACCCUGGAUACCAUCAAACUUAGACUCCAGGUUUUGGAAAAUAAAAAAGCUAACGUUUACUGUUGGAAAUACACGUUUGCUAGAAUAAGGAUCUUAGAUGGAGAUACAAUAAGCCAUGCUUGGAUCUCCCAAGUAUGUCUGCUAUCAUUAAGGAGGCCUGGAGAAGGAGGAAAGGAAGGUCAGCAACCCUAAGAUUAUCAGUCUAAUCUGAAGAUCAGCACGUCAGGUGAAGGAAGACAAGUCUAGGAAGCUUGGAGGUUUUUCUGGCUGGGGCUGAUAGAUGUUGAAUUCUCUUGUUUUUUUUUUAAAAAAUAAUAUUUAUUAAUUUUCCAACCGUUUAAACACAAAAAAAGGAAAAAAACAAAACAAAAACAAAAAAACAUAAGACUAACAGAACGAGACACAAAUCAUUUAAAACACAAAACAAUUUCAAUAUCUUAUCUUUCAUUCCCUUAUUUCCAUGACCUCCUCACACCUCCCUUUUUGUAUUCCACUUCUGUUAAUUGUUUCAGCAAUUCCUUUCCAUCUUCCUCUGUUUUCUAUCCUAUAAUUAUCUUAACAUAUUCUAACCUUAUUUUUCCCUUUAAUACUCUAUUAAUCUAUUUAUACUUGAUUCCUUAUAGCAUUUCUACUAAAGCCAUAUAACUUCAUUCCAACAUUUUUCUAACAUUCAUUAUUUUUACAGUAUUUCUAUAAAUAGUCUUAAACUUUUUCCAGUCUUCUUCCACCGACUCUUCUCCCUGGUCUCGGAUUUCUGCCAGUCAUUUCCGCCAAUUCCAUAUAGUCCAUCAACUUCAUCUGCCAUUCUUCCCGAAUAGAUAAGUCUUGUGUCUUCCAGUACUUCACAAUGAGUAUUCUUGCUGCUAUUGUUGCAUACGUGAAAAAAGUUCUAUCCUUCUUUAACACCAAUUGGCCGACCAUGCCCAGGAGGAAGGCCUCUGGUUUCUUCAAAAGGGUAUAUUUAAAUACCUUUUCAUUUCGUUAUGAAUCAUCUCCCAAAGUGUCUUAAUCCUUGGGCAUGUCCACCAAAGGUGAACUCUAAUCCUCAGAUUCGUCUGCUUUUCUUUAAGUUCAGUCAUAGCAAGCGUCAACUUAUGUUCAUCAAAUUGCCUCUGUAGGGCUGGGGCUCUCUUUCUCUUUCUCUCCAGUUGUGUUACUUUACAUUCAGCAACAACAGCUUUUUCCCUGGCUUCCUCCGCAGUUUGCCGUAUCAAAGUAGGUUCCUGUAUCAAUUUCUGGGUGGUUUCUGUAUUGGUAUUAUUUAUACUUUCUGUACUUUCUGUAUUUAAGUUAAUUUUAGUAAUUGAAACAUCCACUUUCGCAUUUAUCGUGUCCAUUUUCCUGUUAAGCUGAUCCAGUGAGUCAUUUAUCUUAUAUAAUGCAACCACUAAAGCCUCUUCUGUCGACAUUCCUCUUGGUUUUAAAUAUACUGGUACAAAGGCAGCGACAGAAGGAGCAGGGGGGCCUGAUGAUGGACCUCUCCUGGAUUAUUGCCAAGUCCUCCCAGACCUUAAUGUUUUGUCAGCAGUUGACUGGUCUGUUUUUCCUCUUCCAUUUACCAUAACACUUAAAAGAUUCAAGGUCAGUCCCAGAGUCUCACGGUUUUUAACUUGCAGCUGGAAAUUCCCCUAGCCCAGCUCUUGUAAAGCAACCGGUUUCAAAGGCUUCCACUAGGGGGAAACAGUUUCUAUUUGUAAUAGUCAAUAGUAUCCUCUUUUAAACAAUCCAAAAUUAGUUUCAAAUUAGUUUCAAUUUUCAGUUACUUUUACUCCUUUUUAAAGCAGCUGGAGACAGUAGAAACAAUGUAUUUCUCUUGUUUAACUAGCUGUCAAUAAACGUUCUAAACGCUGUCAAUGAACAUUCCAAAAGACGUCAGUCCUGCUAGCAGCCCGUUUCCAGGGUCAGAGCGGCGGUGUUUUAAAUCUCUUCGCUCUCUCCCACAGGCAUACUCAAUCCGCAACUUCCCCUCUCUUCUCCUGCCUCCAAGAGGGGUUUAAUGUUCUUUACCGAUGGAAAUUUAAUCUUUUACAAAAGGCUUUCCAGGACUCCAGCUUGCAACUUCAUUGCCUCAGUCUAUUUACAAAAGGGGAAGGCGGACUUCCUGUUUUGAACCUCCCUGUUACAGUACCAAAUUAAACAUUUAGAAAUACAAUUCUUCCGCUUCAGCUCUACUCACGGGUAAUUACUUUAAAGUCAAAUUGUCCACAGGAAAAGGUCAGCGCUCUCCGGCAACAGCUAUGCGGCUUCACUCCGUGGAAGAAGCAGAUGAUGCACCGCACCGCUCACCCCACGUCACUCUGGAGCCCCAAAAACCGGGGUUCCCCGUGAGUGGGGGAGGCGCAAAAGGUGCCCGCCGAAUCCCACGCUCACAGGCUUCUCCCGCCUGUGAUUUUAACGGGUCUCCGCCUUCGCCGUGGCGGCCAGACCCAGAUUCCCAUGGAGCAGAUUCCUCCCGGUCAGAGGAAUUACCGGAGGCACCUCCCCGGAAGUAGUCUAGAUGUUGAAUUCUCAACCCCUGAUUUACACACUGCAAGUUCAUACUAAGUGAACUAUCGUUUAACUGCCUGUCAUGUGUGUUAGGUUGUGGGCGAACAUAUCAGACGACACAGCGAUUCUUCCAAAGCAGCUCUUUAUUUGUAAGCUGGAACAGGACUGAACUGAGGAGCUCAGUCAGCCUGCUUAUAUAGAGCUCCACUAGAAUGCAACAGUAACCAUUUUCUGUAACUAGCCAAUCACUGAACAUCACUUUCGAUCCUUCAUUUGCAUACAAACUAUCCAAUCACUGAACGACACUUUCGAUCCUUCAUUUGCAUAACUAUCUACAGUAUCCCCCUGCUGGCCCAGGGUGAGAACUUCAGUACAUAACAAUGUGCUUCCUGUGACUCUGACAUCUCUUUGUUUUCCCUCCAUAGUUCAUACAGGGAUUUCUGGACUAUCAGAUUCCACAUUACGCAAUAUUAAAAAAAUGUAAGUGCAACAGUGACCAAAAAAAGGCUUCUAGUGAGAUAACUCCAAAUAUGCAAUUGCAGCCAGUCACAGCUCUUUGACUUGCAUACCUGACUGACAUACAUGUUGAUGUUUCUCAUAUUCACAUCUUAAAAGUAAUUUCACAUAACUAAAUAGCGAAGCCUCCUCAGAGACUUCUUCCCACUAUUAGAGAAAUACUAUGUUAUCUUCAGCUCUGUUGUCGUGAAUGAAUCACACCAGUAAUGAUGCCAAAAUGUAUAGUUUAUUGGUUCAGAAUAACUCCACAACUCCACAACUCAUAACACUUGUCCAUAAAGCCAGUGUGGUGUAGUAGUUAAGAGCGGUGGACCCAUAAUCUGGUGAACCGGGUUUGAUUCCCCGCUCCUCCACAUGCAGCUGCUGGGUGACCUUGGGCUAGUCACACUUGAAGUCUCGCAGCCCCACUCACCUCACAGAGUGUUUGUUGUGGGGAAGGAAGGGAAAAGGAGAUUGUUAGCCACUUGGAGACUCCUUAGGAUAGUGUUAAAGCGGGAUAUCAAAUCCAAACUCUCUCUCUCUAACUUGUUUCCAAACAGAGGGCCUUCUUGGUAGUGGCGCCCUCUCUUCAGAUGUGAAGGAAAUAAGCAGCUUUCCUAUCUUUAAAAGACAUCUGAAGGCGGAUUUGUUUAGGGAAGUUUUUAAUAUUUAAUAUUUAACACUCGAUUGGGAGCCGCCCAGAGUGGCUGGGGAAACUCAGCCAGAUGGGCGGGGUAUAAAUAAAUUAUUAUUAUUAUUACUAUUAUUAUUAUUAUUAUUAUCGUUAUCUUUAAGUCCUUCUCAGGAUGGAUUUUAAUUAAAUUUGAGGAAAAGCUACCCAUAUUCCCACCCACCAUCCCACUUACCUGCUUAGGGUGGUGGGGGCAUGGCAGGAAUGGAGGUCUCUCUCACACAAACCCUCACCUUUCUCUCUCCUCCCCUUUAAGUUCCACCACAGCAGGAGCAAAUCCAGCUUUGGUAGGGUCCUUAGGAUCUGAUUGGGAUGCUGCCCAGGGGCUGGAUCUAUACUAAUCUAAAAAAAAACGCUAAGAAUUUUUUUUUAUAUAGCUCUCAAUGCAAGCUUCCAUUGCAGGCUUCCUCAACCUCGGCCCUACAAAUGUUUUUGGCCUACAACUCCCAUGACCCCUAGCUAGCAGGACCAGUGGUCAGGGAUGACAGGAAUUGUAGUCUCAAAACAUCUGGAGGGCCGAGGUUGAGGAAGCCUGGUCCAUUGACUGCUGUGCAGCGCCCCCUGGUGUCACAUUUUUGUAAUGCAUUUAUAACAUUAUACGGUAACUCACAAAUAUAGAUUAGUCCAAAGUCCCUCUUACAGGCCUGUCUCUGGAGGUAAGCCACUUAGCUGCUCCACUGAGUCUCCUCAAAAUGCCCGCUGCCUCCACCUGACUAAUAAAGAGGAAUGGGACUCUCCUUUUACAAUACUACUCAGGUACAUCCACCCUGAUACAUGGGGUGAGAGACAUUUACCUGAGAACACACCCAGACCACAGCAAAAACAACUAUGUUUAAUAAUAAUAAUAAUAAAAUUUUAUUUAUAUCCUGCCCUCCUCAGCCGAAGCCGGGCUCAGAGCGGCUAACAACAGUAAAAAUAACACAGUUUACAUAAAAUCACAAUCAAUUAAUUGAAAUACAUUCUAAAAUCAAUUCAGAGUCAAAUUAAUGGCAACCAUUGGGCUAGAGUUCUAUGAGGAUUGCAGAAGGAGAGAGGGGGUCAGACUGUUCCCUGGCCAAAGGCCUGGUGGAACAGCUCUGUCUUGCAGGCCCUGAGGAAAGAUGUCAAGUCUAUAAGGGCUAUAACUUCUGGAUCCAGCAGCCACUAUAUACAGAGUCCUUCUAGUUUCCAGACAGCAGUACCAUCUCUUUUAGAUAUAUACUGUGCUUUCAUGUCUUCCUCAUACUCCUCCCUGCCCCACAAGCCUCUCUAUCCCCCACAGUCUGUCAUUUUCCAAUGGACUCUGUCUCUCUCUGCCUGUCACUCAAACUCCUCCCAACAUUCCAUUCUGCUGGCCCCUACUGUCCAUCAUUCUUCUAGCAGCUGUCCUGCCACAGGUGGUUUUCCAGAGUUCUGGCAUCAAGGACCCUGGAAAUCGCUGGCUUCUCAAUGUUCCCUGGCACCUUGACAGAGCCAGGUUUCUUCCAGGUGCUGGCGAAAGCGAGAGGAAGUGGUUACAGUGAGCCGCCCUGCGGCUUAACAUGGCAUGCGAACUAGGCCAAUGGAUGCAGUUAUCUCUGCAGUAUUUGUGGCACACCCUUUCUGAACAGCUUUAGAUGUUUUAAUAGACAUUUUAUUCGUUUUAUUUUGAAGUGUCAAUCAUAACGACAAUGAGAAUAAGGCAUAGCUGUCAAGCAUCCCUUAUUUGGCGGGACAGUCCCUUAUCCCAGCGCCAUGUCCCGCUGCUGUCCCUUAUUGAUGAUAUCCCUUAAAUAAGUUACUGAAGGUAAUGGGGCCCUUUCUAUGUCCAGCUGUCCUUUGUCAACAACAAAUUGUUGCUGUUUUUUGUGUUGAAUAUAUGCUAUAUGGUAAUUUAUGGACCUAAUAGGUAUCUAAAACCAUUUGCACGCAACAAAAUACAGUGGUGCCCCGCAAGACGAAUGCCUCGCAAGACGGAAAACCCGCUAGACGAAAGGGUUUUACGUUUUUGAGUUGCUUCGCAGGACGAAUUUCCCUAUGGGCUUGCUUCGCAAGACGAAAAUGUCUUGCGAGUCUUGAGAUUUUUUCCUGCUUCCCCCCCUUUUUUCUAAGCCGCUAAGCCGCUAAUAGCCUUUUAGCAGCUAAGCCGCUAAGCCUUUAAUAGCCGCUAAACCGCUAAUAGCGCUAAUCCGCUAAGCCGCUAAUAGGGUUGCUUCGCAAGACGAAAAAACCGCUAGACGAAGAGACUCGCGGAACGGAUUAAUUUCGUCUUGCGAGGCACCACUGUAUGUAUUUUAUCAAAGUAAUUGUUGAUCCCUUAUUUUGGCUGCUGAUCCCUUAUUUUCGAGGCUGCUGGUCCCUUAUUUUCAAAUCUGUAAGUUGACAGCUAUGGAAUAAGGACGAGGGUGCACUAGGUUGCGAAACAGGCACACACCUUAGGAAGCAAAGGGUUGUAUUCGGCUAAGAUAUAUUCAGAGCAGACCCACUGAAAUCAAUGAACCCGAAUUAGUCCAUUUCAAUGGGUCUGCUCUGAGUAGGACAAAUGUAAGAGGCAACCCAAAAAUGUGCAGAGCAAAAUGUGAUGACAGAAAGAAGUCUAAUUUUGCUUUUUUUUACUGGGAAAGGUUUGCUGGACUGUAUCUCUGAGGAGUCCAGGUACACCCUUCAUGACAACAUGAGCAAGUUCAAGGCUCCCACACAGAUUAUUUGGGGAAUGCACGACAAGGUUAGUGUGUGUGUGUGUGUGUGUGUGUGUGUGUGUGUGUGCACACGCACGCGCUCUGCUUUCUUUUGCUGUGCUAAUGGCUGGGUGCAGAUUAAGCCAACAAUCACUUUUAGUCCUAGCUGAUAUUCUGAAUUACUCCAUUGUUACUUUGAACUGUUCUGCGAACUGGUAUGCUCCUCAUUCAGAAAAGCAGCUAGUACAUUCCAUAAGCAGCUGAAAGGCAAAGUCCCCAGUCCUGGGGGAGAGAGAGGCUCUACAGGGUGGUACCCAGGUAUGGCGCAGGUGCUCAUUGGCACUGCUAUUGACACACAUUCCUUGAAUGCACGGAGACCCAGCUAUCACUUCCAGAAGGGGCCAGGGCUGGAAAACAAAAUUUGAGAUAUUGUACAAAGAAACACCCACCCACCUUGCGGCUAAAGCCAUGUAACAAAAAUGAGAGAACCACUCAUCAAUGGAAGUUUGUUGGUUCCAGAGGGUGUUGCUGUUGGGAGCUAGGGCAGAGAGAGAUGCUUAAGAAAAUGUCUGGCUGGUGGUGGUUUCAGCCUACCGAGCAGAGAUGCAGAAGUCACAUUAGAAGUUCUUGUAUGGGGGUUGCGGGUGUUGGGAUACUGCCAGGGAGACAUCAUCCAUCAAGGCCCCACGUCGAUUCCGGACGAUCCAUCGAUCUCCCGUAGACACGCAGUAUCAUUCAGUUAGCGACACGAGCCCCAGAAAUGGCUUCCCACAUUCCAGAGCUCUUGCACGCUCUAUCAGCAGAUAAUGCACAGCGAAAGAUGCACGCAGGAGAGCAUUAUUUACAAUUUUAUUCAGCGUUGGUCAGAACAAAGAAAACAUGACUGCCUGCUUCGGUGUCUCAGGCACAGAGAGAGAAACGAAAGCAUAGACACAACAGAAACAUCCUGUGAACAGGAAAUACGCAGACUCUGUGACUCACAAAGCCUGCUCCCUUUUAAGGUGGAACGGAAAUAUCCUAACAGCGGGUGGCACUGUGGUCUAAACCACUGAGCCUCUUGGGCUUACCAAUCAGAAGGUCAGCGGUUCAAAUCCCUGCAAUGGGGUGAGCUCCCGUUGCUCUGUCGCAGCUUCUGCCAAGGUAAAUGGCAUUUCCAUGCGUUCUGGUUUCCGUCACGGAGUCCCGUUGCACCAGAAGCAGUUCAGUAAUGCUGGCCACAUGACCCAGAAAGCUGUCUGUGGACAAACGUCGGCUCCCUUGGCUUGAAAGCGAGAUGAGUGCCGCAACCCCAUAGUCACCUUUGACUGGACUUAACCAUCCAGGGGUCAUUUACCUUUUACUUUGAUGUUCUUGUGUGCUUAAUCAGGGUACUUUUCUAUGUCAGAGGACAGCAUGUUCAGAUGCACAAGGAAGAGAGGCAGGAACUCAUCAAGUCUGACACUGGCACACAAUUCUUCUAUCGAUUACAGCCCCAUCCAGUUGUGCGCCUUGUUAUUACAGCAACCUUUCAUUAAACGCAGAUACAAUUGCAUAAGUUUGUCAUCAUGUGGCAGCGAGUCAGCCCAAUCAGCAUUUUGCUUAUAUCUUAAUCCCUUGUAUAAGUUCUUCCAACCCUGGUGCUCUCCAGAUGGUUAGGGCUACAGCUCCCAUCCACCCCAGCCAGAAUGCACCAUUGUAGUCCAAACCAUCAGGCUGGAGCCUGCUUUAUAUCUUCCUAUAUAAAGAAACAUGCAAGGCUGUCAUCACACAGUCCCCAUUGGAGGAUUUGUGGUGCUGCAACACAAUGCUGGGUUUGGCGUAGGGAAGCCAAAGAGAAUGUAGGCUGAACAACACCAGAGGCUACGGCAGGGGAGUGAGAUGGGGAAGUGGGUAUUUAAAGCAAGAGCUGAAGUUUGAAAGCAGUUUGAAAGCACACCAGUGCGAGUAGAAAAAUAGGUACUGCUGCGGCGGGAAGGUAGAUGGCAUUUCCAUGCACUCUGGUUUCCAUCAUGGUGUUCUGUUGCGCCAGAAGCAGUUCAGUAAUGCUGGCCACAUGACCCGGAAAGCUGUCUGUGGACAAACGUCGGCUCCCUUGGCCUAAAAGCGAGAUGAGCGCUGCAACCCCAAUGUGGUGGGAAUGGCAAGGGAUUAGCGAGCAGAGUGAGUAGGGACACAGCCUGUAGUUUUAAAAUAAAGAUCAUCUUUAUCGCCGCAGGAAUGCCUGGGAGCAACGCUAUGUCACUCUGUCCCAGGAAUGUGGCUUGGCUGCUGAGAACAAUGUGGGCACCAGACAUAAAUUUCUUUUCAUUUCUUUCAGAUCACUGAUCCUUCUGGAGGAGAAAUUUUAGCUGCCACCAUCCCCAACUCCCAACUGCAUAUGCUGGAGAAAUGUGGACACUUCAUGAUGAUGGACAGGCCCAAGAAAUCCGCCAAGCUCCUUGUGGAAUUCCACAAUUCAGUCUGUGGCAAGGUGGAGGCUAAGAAGUCAAUAUAACCCUCACUAAGGAGUCAAGCAGAUGGAGCAUUCGAAGCAACUUUCUUGCUCAAAUGGACACUGUGGGUGUCUGCCCUGGUCCCCCCCCUCGCUUAUUUGCUUUGCCAUAUAAUAUUUGGAAGCUGGGAUGACUGGCCUGGCCUCCCACAGCUUCUGACAGAGCUUGGAAUUUGUAUGUUCAGACUGACUUCUUCCUUUGUGCAAUUGUAACCUGCAGUAAGGCCAGGGGUAAGAGGGGUGAUGUAGAAAAAGAAUAGGGUUUGUCUUUUGCUGCCCCGCUCCCCAAGGGACUGAGUCCCCUAAGUCCAUGAUCGGUCAGAGAUGAAUGGAUGAAGGCAAGGAUCCAAAGAAAGGAAGGGAGAUCUAAACAGCUCUGUUUAGGGAAGCUUUUAAUAUUUGAUGAAUUAUUGUAUUUUAAUAUUUUGCUGGAAGCCGCCCAGAAUGGCUGGGGAAACCCAGCCAUAUGGGCGGGGUAUAAAUAAUAAAUUAUCGUUAUUAUUCUGUG